AGAACGAACGCUGGCGGCAGGCCUAAUGCAUGCAAGUCGAACGCACUCUUCGGAGUGAGUGGCAGACGGGUGAGUAACGCGUGGGAACCUUCCUUGUAGUACGGAAUAACUCCGGGAAACCGGUGCUAAUACCGUAUACGCCCUCCGGGGGAAAGAUUUAUCGCUACAAGAUGGGCCCGCGUUGGAUUAGCUAGUUGGUAGGGUAAUGGCCUACCAAGGCUACGAUCCAUAGCUGGUCUGAGAGGAUGAUCAGCCACACUGGGACUGAGACACGGCCCAGACUCCUACGGGAGGCAGCAGUGGGGAAUAUUGGACAAUGGGCGCAAGCCUGAUCCAGCCAUGCCGCGUGGUGAAGAGGCCUUAGGGUUGUAAAGCUCUGUGGGGAGGGACGAAUAAGUGUUAGGCUAAUAUCCAGCAUGAUGACGGUACCUCUUAGCAAGCACCGGCUAACUCUGUGCCAGCAGCCGC
rnacentral:rRNA from 1 species